AUUCCGGUGAACCCGUAACCCAAGGACCCGAGGAAGAGAACCGGAGGUGACCCGAUUCAGGAAGACCCGAGAACCCGCGAGACCCAACCCGAUCCUUCAUCCGGUGAUUUUUUUUCCCCAGCAGAAUCAAUGGCGAAUUUCGGUGGAUUUGCUGAGAAAAUCCUUGGGGUAGAAGUUCGACCUCGAAGUUGAUGGCAAAUCCAGGAUGUAAUAAUCAGAGUCACCUUCUGGUAAUGGCAUAGACCUGGCUAAGAGCAAUAGAUGGUAUCUUGGGGAACUGAUGUAACCUUUGUAAUGCUCAAGUUUGCGUUUCCCUUAUUUACCAAAAUGGGGGCGUGACAUAAAGAUCUUGGUGGAGGAUGAGUUGACAGCUUCUAACUAGUAUGUGCCCUACUUUUGUUGAAUAAUGUGCUUGAUGAUAUUUUGGUCUUUUAGAUUUUAUAUUGGAUAUUGGUUUGUCAAUAAUUGUCAUUUGUUUAAAUGGUUAUCUGAAUUGUUUUAUCCUAUUGUACUUUUGUUUUAAAAGAAAGUGAGAUGUUGA